ensembl:miRNA gga-mir-12213 gga-mir-12213
UGUGCACCAGCUGGUGGGUUGGACUGGAAAAGAAGCCCUACAAACCACCUGGUGCUGGU